UCUUGCUUGAUUGAGCACAGGAACACUGC
rnacentral:piRNA from 1 species